rnacentral:rRNA from 1 species
CCUACGGGAGGCAGCAGUGGGGAAUAUUGCACAAUGGGGGAAACCCUGAUGCAGCGACGCCGCGUGAGUGAAGACGUCUCUCCGUAUGUUAAGCUCUUUCCGCAGGGAAGAAGAAAGACGCUACCUGACUAAGACGCCCCGGCUAACUACGUGCCAGCAGCCGCGGUAAUACGUAGGUGGCGAGCGUUAUCCGGAUUUACUGGGUGUAAAGGGAGCGUAGACGGCUGUGCAAGUCUGAGGUGAAAGCCCAGGGCUCAACCCUGGGACUGCAUUGGAAACUGUGGGGCUAGAGUGCUGGCGAGGUAAGUGGAAUUCGUGGUGUAGCGGUGAAAUGCGUAGAUAUUAGGAGGAACACCAGUGGCGAAGGCGGCUUACUGGACAGUAACUGACGUUGAGGCUCGAAAGCGUGGGGAGCAAACAGGAUUAGAUACCCUGGUAGUC